rnacentral:rRNA from 1 species
UACGUAGGUGGCAAGCGUUGUCCGGAUUUACUGGGCGUAAAGGAUGCGUAGGCGGACAUUUAAGUCAGAUGUGAAAUACCCGAGCUUAACUUGGGUGCUGCAUUUGAAACUGGGUGUCUAGAGUGCAGGAGAGGUAAGUGGAAUUCCUAGUGUAGCGGUGAAAUGCGUAGAGAUUAGGAAGAACACCAGUGGCGAAGGCGGCUCACUGGCCCGAUACUGACGCUGAGGCACGAAAGCGUGGGGAGCAAACAGG